UAAGGAAUAUUGGUCAAUGGACGCAAGUCUGAACCAGCCAUGCCGCGUGAAGGAUGAAGGUCCUCUGGAUUGUAAACUUCUUUUAUCUGGGACGAAACCCGGGUAUUCUUUUCCGAUUGACGGUACCAGAGGAAUAAGCACCGGCUAACUCCGUGCCAGCAGCCGCGGUGAUACGUAGGGGUCUAGCGUUGUCCGGAAUCAUUGGGCGUAAAGAGCUCGUAGGCGGUUCGAUUAGUCGGGUGUGAAAUCUCCACGCUCAACGUGGAGGGGCCACUCGAUACUGUCGUGACUCGAGUCCGGUAGGGGAGUUCGGAAUUCCCGGUGUAGCGGUGAAAUGCGCAGAUAUCGGGAGGAACACCAGUGGCGAAGGCGGAACUCUGGGCCGGAACUGACGCUGAGGAGCGAAAGCGUGGGGAGCGAACAG
rnacentral:rRNA from 1 species